rnacentral:rRNA from 1 species
UACGUAGGGUGCAAGCGUUAAUCGGAAUUACUGGGCGUAAAGCGUGCGCAGGCGGCUUUGCAAGACAGAUGUGAAAUCCCCGGGCUCAACCUGGGAACUGCGCUUGUGACUGCAAGACUCGAGUACGGCAGAGGGGGGUGGAAUUCCACGUGUAGCAGUGAAAUGCGUAGAGAUGUGGAGGAACACCGAUGGCGAAGGCAGCCCCCUGGGUCGAUACUGACGCUCAUGCACGAAAGCGUGGGGAGCAAACAGG